rnacentral:rRNA from 1 species
UACGGAGGGGGCUAGCGUUGUUCGGAAUUACUGGGCGUAAAGCGCGCGUAGGCGGUGAUCUUUGUCAGAGGUGAAAUCCCGAGGCUCAACUUCGGAAUUGCCUUUGAAACGGGAUCGCUUGAGUCCGAGAGAGGAUGGCGGAAUUCCUAGUGUAGAGGUGAAAUUCGUAGAUAUUAGGAAGAACACCGGUGGCGAAGGCGGCCAUCUGGCUCGGUACUGACGCUCAGGCGCGAAAGCGUGGGGAGCAAACAGG